rnacentral:misc_RNA from 1 species
UCCGGCUUAUCACCUGUGUCCAGGUUCCCUUUCGGGCACCGUAUCUCUACGGCUUUUCCCAUGAUGUCAAACCCAGGUAAGGUUCUUCGGGUCGCAUCGAAUUAAGCCGCAUGCUCCGCCGCUUGUGCGGGGACCCGUCAAUUCCUUUGAGUUUUAGCCUUGCGGCCGUACUCCCCAGGCGGGGCACUUAAUGCGUUAGCUUCGGCACGGCAACCGUUGAUCGGGUCGCCACACCUAGUGCCCAACGUUUACAGCGUGGACUAC